GACGAACGCUGGCGGCGUGCCUAACACAUGCAAGUCGAACGAGGUCCAGGGAGUGGUAACACUCCGGACGACCUAGUGGCGAACGGGUGAGUAACACGUGAGGAACCUGCCCCGAACUCGGGGAUAACUCGAGGAAACUCGAGCUAAUACCGGAUACCCUCGGAGGAUCGCAUGGUCCACCGAGGAAAGUCUUUUCGGUUCGGGAGGGUCUCGCGGCCUAUCAGCUAGUUGGUGAGGUAACGGCUCACCAAGGCUACGACGGGUAGCUGGUUUGAGAGAACGAUCAGCCACACUGGGACUGAGACACGGCCCAGACUCCUACGGGAGGCAGCAGUGGGGAAUCUUGCGCAAUGGGCGAAAGCCUGACGCAGCAACGCCGCGUGCGGGAUGACGGCCUUCGGGUUGUAAACCGCUUUCAGCAGGGACGAAACUGACGGUACCUGCAGAAGAAGCUCCGGCUAACUACGUGCCAGCAGCCGCCGUAA
rnacentral:rRNA from 1 species